GUUUCUGUAGUUGAAUACAACGGUGGUUUUUCAAGCCAUUGGUCCUGGUUAAUAAUCCUGGCAGAAACU
rnacentral:tRNA from 1 species